AGUACGGUCUUUCUUCGUCUGAGAAGGAGAGGUUAUGGUCCACAAACUGAAAGAAGUAUUCCAGGUCUGUUUGUGGUGGAGAGGGUUGGAGGAGGAUGACUCCACUUGGGACUUACUGGGCCCUCCUUCCUGGCCAGGGAGGUAAAACAGACACAGGUUAGGCUGCAGAGCUGUAAGCCCUAAGCCGACUGGCAGGCGCCGUAAAAGAGAGCAGCGGGUUCAGUCGGUUGUGGGGUGGGCAGAGGGUAGAGAAAGGGGCCAGUCACACUCAGCUGCAGCCCUCGCGGCCUCGCGGGCCUGUGGUUGCCAGGACUUAAAUCUCCCAAGAGUCGUUACAAUCCUGACUUUUAUGUGAAAGCUCUCAUCUUGUAUUGGCAAGUAAAUCCAAGACAGUUUCAAUCACUGUGGGAGUCAAGCUAAUUAUGUCUGCAGGCUGGAUUUGGUCUGUAAGCUGCCAGUGUGCCAUCUCUGGAUUAGUCACUGAAGAGUCAGGGAAGGUGAUGAACCAGCACCAGCCACCCCAGAUGGAGUCACGAUGUGGCGGUAGUGAGAGAAGCAGGUGAGGGAACUGCGCCAGGUGUGGACGGGAAAGGCCUGACGUUCCUUCCCCAGGCUGCCCUGGGGAGAUGGCGGAGGCGGGGGUGCUGCUCCAGUGCUGUCUGCUGGAGGGAGGUGUUCCCUUCCGUGCAGGGCAGAGGCAACCUACACCCGGCUGGCUCUGGGUUUCCUUGUGAGUGAUCCUGUCCGUGGCAUUAGUACCACCUAGUGGACUUCGCAGGAAGAACUGCAUGUUGAAACCAUGCGGACAGUCAUUUACCAGAGCGGCGGCGGUGAGCGCAGCAGAAGGGCCAGGGUCCUCCGAGCGAAUCAGCAUGAAAGAAACCAUAAUAAUGAGUAAACUCAAAGCUUGA
rnacentral:lncRNA from 1 species